rnacentral:piRNA from 1 species
UGUGAGCAUGCAUACAUGUGUGAAUGUGU